AUAUAUUUAGCUUAUAUAGAGCAAUUUACUGAAGAUAAAGAGGACUAACCAUUUU
rnacentral:tRNA from 1 species